UGAGGAAUAUUGCGCAAUGGGCGAAAGCCUGACGCAGCAACGCCGCGUGAAGGAUGAAGGUGCUCUGCAUUGUAAACUUCUGUAGGGGGGGACGAAUAUCCCGGUAUUGCCGGGAAUGACGGUACCCCUAAAGUAAGCACCGGCUAACUCCGUGCCAGCAGCCGCGGUAAUACGGAGGGUGCAAGCGUUGUCCGGAUUUAUUGGGUGUAAAGGGCGUGUAGGCGGAGUGAUGUGUCGGGAGUGAAAUCGUGCAGCUUAACUGUAUCAAUUGCUUCCGAAACUGUCACCCUUGAGUGCGAGAGGGGUAGAUGGAAUUCCAGGUGUAGCGGUGGAAUGCGUAGAUAUCUGGAAGAACACCAGUGGCGAAGGCGGUCUACUGGCUCGUAACUGACGCUGAGGCGCGAAAGUGUGGGGAGCAAACAGG
rnacentral:rRNA from 1 species